UCUCCUGGCCGGCAAUCAAAGCAGCAGGCAAGCUGCAAAGAGCUGCUUUUCUCCCGCCUCUCAGCUGAUCGGCGGGUGGGCAAUGGGGCUUCCACGGAGGCCUCCGUGUAGGCCUCUGUGAAGCCUGAACUCGAGUAGGGCCCAAGCCAGCCAGGAAGGAGGAGGCAGCCAGAGUGGCCACCCCUGGCCUCUGCAGCAGAAGACCCCUUGCUGCCAGGCUGGACUGCCUUUGUGGCCAGAUUGAAGAGAUCAUCACUCUCCUCAGUCAAUGGGUUUGUGAAGCUGUGAAGAGUGGCAGUUGGUGCUUCAAUGUUUGGAUUUUGCUUGAAGUUGAGUGAUCUCAAUAAUGCUUGAUGAGAGAGAAAAUCAAUCAUCACUGCUGCCUCUGCCUGCCUGCCUGCACUUCCAUUCCAGGCCCAGUGUGCCAUCCUCCUGUGACCAGACCCUCAGAGGUGGACUACAGAGACCCAGCGUUGGAGAAGCCUUCAACUGAGUGAGAGUGGCCCAGCCAUUUAUAUUUUACACACACAUACACACACACACCACACGUCUUUCUCUAGUCUCCCAUGAAUUGUGUAUUUGUGGUUUAUUUUAUCCCUGUUUGGAGAGAAGUUAAGGUUUUGGGGUUGAACUGUUCUCUAAAAGUUUUGUGAUAUUUGGAAGAUUGGGUUUUAAAUAGGGGUUCUUCAGAGUGUGUAGCCUUAGAGUCUAUAGGCUAGAUCCCCAUUAGCUAGGUAGUAGUAGGUGGUGGUUCAACUGUAGAGUAGACUAGAAGCGUAGCCUUGUAGUGCUUUAAAUAAAUAAUUCCUUUUUCCCCUCCCAAGUAAUUUUUUUAAAAGAGGAAAGGAGCCUGAGCCUGUUCCAGUGCUUGAGCUAAUCUAGGAUUAAUUCAGCUCGAGUGUCUCAGCACUGACUCCUCCUGUCCUGAGUCCUGCAUACACUUUUGUGUUGUUGCUUUUUUAGAAAUGUUGAAAGCCCCUAGCCUGCCCAUUGCCCACCCAGUCAUUUCUUUGCCCAUCAUUUGUGAAUUGAAACACACAUUGUUUGAUUGACUUGUGUGUAGGUAGGCCCAGCACAAUUCAGUUACUUUUUCAUCUUCUGUGCCUGUGAUAUUGACAGCAACAUCAUUGUUGUUCCAGCAAUCCUAAUCCUAAUCUGUGUAACAAUCCUAAUCUGUGUAAUUAGAUUUUGAUACUUUUCUAACUCACUUCCAUUCCAAGAACCACAGACAGAGAAUAGCUGUAAUUCCCUGUUCUUCUUGGUGAGUGCACUGGGCCAGCCUUAAAGAACUCCUCCACGGUCACUGCAGUGUGUGUGCGCAGCAGUGCCACAAGCUAAGUGGCAUUAUUUUAUUUCAUGUUCUGUGGCAGCCUGCUUCUGUCGUGUCACACACACACCUAACUCCCAGUCCCUCUAGCUAAACUCUGUGUGAUACACAUUACACGGCAGCUUCUGAUUUAGCCAGCCACAGAAUUUGUGCCAACAAGCCUUAAGCAAGGAGGCACUCCACUCCAGUCCACAAGCCAUCACAGCAGCCCCUCUUUUUGGACCUCUGAGUCUACCUGCCCCCUGAGACAACCCCAUCCACUCUGCCCCCCCUUUACAUUUUUAAAAGAAGCCCCCAAACCAUGGCUGGGAGGGCUGGUAGAGCAGCAGAAAGAGGGAGGGUGCAAGGAAGGGGGAGGCUUUUCUUCCCUGCUGGUCGUGGCAAGGGGCGGCCAGAGGGGCUUAUUCCCCGAGUCACCCCCGGCCCUGCUUCGGCGCACAGGCUAGACUUUCUUCCCUGCGGCCGGGCAGAAUUUCGGGGGGAGGGCCUCCCAGCUAGCCAGGGAAGAAGAACUUCCUGUGGCAGCUGAGGAGGUGGUGCUGGUGGAGGAGGCUGGAAGUCCAGCCAGAUCCACCUUGCCGCCCUCCCCACCGGUCCCUGGAGGGGGGUGGCCAGGGUUGCAUCUGAGGAGGCUCAGGCAGAGGGAAGCCCUCCUGUCCCUGGGCCUUCUCAGGCCAGCUCUGAGGGCAGUGGUGGUGGUGGCAUGCCCGAGAAGGAACCAGCAAAGCUGCCACCACCCAAGCGACCUUGUGUCGCAGGAGAGUCCAGCAGUGUGGUCUGGGAUCACUUUGAGCUUCACCCUGGUGAUCCCACCCAUGCUGAGUGCACCCACUGCAAGGCGCUGGUCAGCAGAGGCAAGGACCCUAAGCACUUCACUCCCUCGGGUCUGUUGUCGCACCUGUGCCGGCGGCACUCAGGUGUGGAGACCUCUGCUGGCAGUGGCAGUAGGCCCAGUGCCUCGACUAGCAGUAGUGGCGGCAGCAAGCGGCCAGUGGCUCCUGCUCCUAGGCAAGAAAAACUGACCGAUCAUCAUCAGUGGGUGCAAUCUCUGGGAAAGCGGUCCGAUCGCCCAAAACCACAUCUCGUGACUCGGGCCAUUGCUGAGAUGAUUAGGGACUUUGGCUAGAUCAUGGGAAACCCACUUUUUUCACUGUUUAUAAUGGUGCACAGUCUAGCCAGGUUUUUGACCACCUCUGACUGAUGUGUUACCCCAUUGGCCUCCUGUUAGUCUUGCAGAAAUAACAAAUUUAGUAGGACGUUUAAAAAUUGGAAAAGCCCCUGGUCCAGACCUUAUUCUUCCAGAACUAUUAAAAGCUAAUAUAGAAUGGUGGGACUUAGUUUUAGCCAAUUUAUUUACAUCUAUUAACUGCACAGGAAUUAUACCAGAGCAAUGGAAAACAGCAAUAGUUGUUCCCAUAUUUUAAAAUGGUUCUCAUUUGGAUCCAACUAAUUCUGGGACCUUAAGCUUGUUGUCCGUGUUUGGUAUGCUAUAUGCUCUUUAUCUAUUGGAUAAGCUUGAGGCAUGGAUCUCAGAGAAUCAGAUUCUUGGGAUGGAGCAAGCAGGUAUUAGAGCAAGCCCCUCUACUCUUGAUCACUGUAUGAUCUUGUCUCAUCUCGUGAAGAAAUAUUCUAGUGGCCCUAAAGGCAAACUUUUUCUUGCUUUUAUAGAUUUAAAAUCUGCAUUUGAUUCCAUUUGCAGACACUUAUUAUGGUCCAAACUUGAAAAAACUACAAUAGAUAAGAGACUGUUAUUUCUGAUGAUGCAGCUUUAUUCCAUCUCUUCGUUACGGGUUAGGUAUGCCACUAAUGGGGCUCUAACUGAUUUGAAUCCUUCUACUGUGAGGUCAGAAAGGGUUGUGUCUUGGCCCCUACAUUGUUUAAUCUUUUUAUUAAUGAUCUGGCCCAAUCUCUGGAAAAGGUGGAUUCACAUGCACCAGAGCUGUCUGAUAAAUGAGUGCCGGGGUUCUUAUACCUGGAUGAAGUGGCUGUAUUAUCUCAAACUAGACUAGGUUUGUAAAGAUUGUUGUAUGCUUUUGUCUGCUAUUGCAACAAUAACAAGUUAGUUAUCAAUUAUCAAAAAUCAGAGGUCCUGUUUUUUUCGAAAUCCAGGAAAUUAUAUAAAUGGGUAGUAAAUCAGAACCAUAUUGAGCAGGUGUACAAAUUCAAACAUUUAGGCUCCCCCCCCCCCCGAGUAUAAUCUUAACUGGAAUACUCACAGGCUGUCCUCCAUCCAUAUAGCCCAUAAAACUCUUAGUGCCUUUUUGCACUUCUGCUAUUCUAGAGGAGGCCAGUAUAUACCUAUGGCACUCCAGGUAUUUCAGGCUAAGAUUGUGGCACAAUUACUUUUUGGAGCCUCGCAAUGGAUACAGGGGCUAACAAUUGAAUUGGAGAGAGUACAGUCUAUAUUCCUAAGAGCAAUCUUUGCAGUGCCUAGGUGUGUGUCAUAUUCUGUUCUUUGCCUGGAAUCUGGGUCUUUCCCUAUAGCCUGUAAAGCUUGGGAAUUUACUUUUGCUAGAUGGAUUAAACUCUGUUUAGAGAUUUGGGAAUUUUCUUUCUUCCGUUAUUUAUGGUUGGACUCUAAUCCAAACCCCUGGCUAUCUUAUGUAAACAACAAAAUGAUGCCGUUGGGACUACUUACUCUGGAGAAUAAUAAGGCGAAGGAAAUACUAUUUCUAUGGUUGCAUGACAUUGAACGUCAGGAACUUUCGUCUUCAGCUAACAGGACCUACUCUCCCCUAUAUUUUGGGAUUCCCCCCCCCAUGGGAGAUAGAGGUGCAAAUUAUCUAACAACGAUUCACUUUUAAAAAGUUUCGGGUUGCAUUUGCUUGGGCUCGCUUAAAUGUGCUGCCCUCCUCUCUUUUGGAAAGGAGGUUCGCUAAGGAUUCUUCAGCGACAGUUCUCUGCCCCUGAGACUCUGGCCUCCUGGAAACUGUUACCCACGUUCUGUUAUAUUGUUCUUUGUAUCGAGGUAUUAGAGAAGAACUUAUUUCCCCCGUUAAGUAGAUUUCCUGGAAGGUGUGAGCUUUUUAAUAGACAAUAUUGCCUUGCAGAUACAAGCUGUGAGAUCACAAAAGUGGUGGCCAAUUUAUUUUAUAUUGCUAUGAGAUUAAGGUCUUAGUUUUAGGAGCUGUUUUACUGUUUUCAAAGUAAUCUAUCCUGAAUGCUUGUACACCGUUUUCUUGUGUUUUGUUAUCAAUUACUAUUUGUGUAUAUUAGUUAUAUUAGUUAUUCUCAUUUUUAUCUCUCGGCUGGCCAACGGCUGUAAUAAAAACUGAUUGAUGAGAAAUGAAAAUAUCGAUUUGUGCACAUCCCUAUGAAGAAGCAGCACUGAAGAGUUAAUGUAAUAACCAUCAGCCAUGUAUGCAGCAUUUGGAAAAAAGCAAAAGAGCAAGAAAGAAAGAAAGAAAGAAAGAAAGAAAGAAAGAAAGAAAGAAAGAAAGAAAGAAAGAAAGAAAGAAAGAAGUCUCAGGUGAUUUGGUAUCUUUCCCCUAAGUAUGCUCUUUAUGGUUUUCUGGAGGCCUGGUUUUUGUUAGGCAUCACCCCGAAGAAGCCAUCUAGGGAUAUGUGAACUAUUCCUGUGAGAAGACAUUCAAGAGGCGAGAACUGUGUAUUGGAGAGGAAUUCUCUGAAGCAUUCUCAUCCCUCAAGCUGCAGCCUAUCCAGUGGGAGGGGGAGCCAUUGGUUGGAUUACAUCCCCAGCUCUGUCUAAUAGGGAGAAGGUAGAAAGGGCAUGGUAAGGUGGGAGAGAAAAGCAGAAAAGUUACAGGAUAGCAGCUGUCCCAGGCAAAUGACAGAUGACAAGGAGGUGACAUCAGCAGGGAUUAAGCAAAGGAGCUGGGAAGGAGUUGGGCCAGAAGGGAGAGUUUGUUUGGGAGAAAGCCAGCAGGAGUGAGCAAUCCCUUCCCUGUCUGUGAACAAGUCCUGCAGGCAGCAUGGAGAUGGACAGAGAGCUCUGGGAGAACCUCUCUCUCUCUCUCUCUCUCUCUCUCUCUCUCUCUCUCUCUCUCUCUCUCUCUCUCUGUGGGUGUUCUGCAGUAAUGGUGCAGAGCGGCAGUUCUGGCACCUGAUACUCGCACACCUCACUGUGUCUUGGACAAAGGAACUGCCAAGGAAUUCUUUGUUCUACUAAAUUGGAUCUUUUGAAAUGAGCAGUUAAUAGCCAGAUGUAAGAGUGGGUGGACUCCUCUUUCAUUUCUAUACUGGAGUCAACAAUCAAGCUAAUUCCUUUCUGUAAUGGGAUUUUCUAUGCUAUUUCUGGGCUUCCCUGAGUGUCUCCUAUUCACGGAACAACCAAACAUGCUUGAUUGGUUGGCAAUCUGUAAUCUUUUGAAUCUCCUUAUGUCAAUAUUGGAUGGACAGCUGGUCAUAUAGAUGCUGGAGAGAAGGUGUUUAAUCUUAAAUUUGGAGAUCCCUGGAAUGCCAGGAAAAAGUCAUAUUUGUUAUUCUGCAUCUCAAGAGGACUCCAUAGAGCCUUACACUUAAGCGCCUACUCACCCCUCCAGGUUCUCCUGCAUUCACAUACCAGGCACCUUUAACCCUUCCUUUGUGUCAAGGGAUUCUCUCUGCUUGCUGGCUGUUUCUUCAGGGGUCAGCCAGAGUGGCUUCCUGCUAAUGAGGACAGGGUUGGGGGUAAUUUGACAUAGGGGGUACUCUUAACAAUCUCCACACACAGAGAAGUGUCAUAGCUGCCAUGAGCAGAUUAUGAAUAUUGACCUCUCUCUCUCCCCCCCCUCAUACAUUCAUAUAUAGAAUUAGAAUUUUAUUGAUAUCCCAUCAUUCUUACCUGCUUGAAUUAUCAGAGGAAAUUAGAUGGGUACCCAGGCAGUGUCCAACACAGGCAUUAGCCAGAGUUAGACAUUGUUUCAGCCAGUUUCCUGCCUUGAAUGUCUCUAGACCAGACCCUGAUCCCAUCAUGGCCCAACGGCUUCCAGAAGCUCCAACUGGCCAUUGGUUAGAUAUCUCCUGCUGCAGCGCACUGCCUAGCAAGCCAAGCCAACAAGAGGAGAGCUGAGUAGACGGCGCACGCACACCAACCCGUCACGAUGCAACUGCAAGGGGAGAGGGCACAAUUACAGGCAGGAGGAGGCGAGGCAAUCCUAGCACAGAUUUUGAAAGUUAUAAUCCAGGACAUCUUCUACCACCAGCUGUAGUGUAGUGUAGUGAGUGCAGUGAGUGCAGCUGAGCUGCGUGUGAGGAUGAUAGUUAGUUUAGUUUCAGCAGACUGACUGACUGAGCAUUGAGCAUGGGCAAUGGCAUUGGCAAGCAACACAACACAACACUCACCUGCUGCUGCUGGUUCUAGUAGUUGUCUCUUGUCUUCACCUCUUCUUCGUGUGUGCGCAGUGAGUGCAUGCCUUUUGCCUUACUUGAAAGAAAUGGUUCUCUGGUCCACCACAUAUUUGCUCAAGGACCACAGAGAGGCCCAAGGCAGGGGGUGGCACCAGUGUGAGUGCAUGUGUGCUGGUGUUUGCCACCAGGUGUUG